GAUGAACGCUGGCGGCGUGCCUAAUACAUGCAAGUCGAGCGAACGGACGAGAAGCUUUCUUCUCUGAUGUUAGCGGCGGACGGGUGAGUAACACGUGGAUAACCUACCUAUAAUACUGGGAUAACUUCGGGAAACCGGAGCUAAUACCGGAUGAUAUUUUGAACCGCAUGGUUCAAAAGUGAAAGACGGUCUUGCUGUCACUUAUAGAUGGAUCCGCGCUGCAUUAGCUAGUUGGUAAGGUAACGGCUUACCAAGGCAACGAUGCAUAGCCGACCUGAGAGGGUGAUCGGCCACACUGGAACUGAGACACGGUCCAGACUCCUACGGGAGGCAGCAGUAGGGAAUCUUCCGCAAUGGGCGAAAGCCUGACGGAGCAACGCCGCGUGAGUGAUGAAGGUCUUCGGAUCGUAAAACUCUGUUAUUAGGGAAGAACAUAUGUGUAAGUAACUGUGCACAUCUUGACGGUACCUAAUCAGAAAGCCACGGCUAACUACGUG
rnacentral:rRNA from 1 species